rnacentral:rRNA from 1 species
UUUAUGGAGAGUUUGAUCCUGGCUCAGGAUGAACGCUGGCGGCGUGCCUAAUACAUGCAAGUCGAGCGAACGGACGAGAAGCUUGCUUCUCUGAUGUUAGCGGCGGACGGGUGAGUAACACGUGGAUAACCUACCUAUAAGACUGGGAUAACUUCGGGAAACCGGAGCUAAUACCGGAUAAUAUUUUGAACCGCAUGGUUCAAAAGUGAAAGACGGUCUUGCUGUCACUUAUAGAUGGAUCCGCGCUGCAUUAGCUAGUUGGUAAGGUAACGGCUUACCAAGGCAACGAUGCAUAGCCGACCUGAGAGGGUGAUCGGCCACACUGGAACUGAGACACGGUCCAGACUCCUACGGGAGGCAGCAGUAGGGAAUCUUCCGCAAUGGGCGAAAGCCUGACGGAGCAACGCCGCGUGAGUGAUGAAGGUCUUCGGAUCGUAAAACUCUGUUAUUAGGGAAGAACAUAUGUGUAAGUAACUGUGCACAUCUUGACGGUACCUAAUCAGAAAGCCACGGCUAACUACGUGCCAGCGUACCGCGGUAAUACGUAGGUGGCAAGCGUUAUCCGGAAUUAUUGGGCGUAAAGCGCGCGUAGGCGGUUUUUUAAGUCUGAUGUGAAAGCCCACGGCUCAACCGUGGAGGGUCAUUGGAAACUGGAAAACUUGAGUGCAGAAGAGGAAAGUGGAAUUCCAUGUGUAGCGGUGAAAUGCGCAGAGAUAUGGAGGAACACCAGUGGCGAAGGCGACUUUCUGGUCUGUAACUGACGCUGAUGUGCGAAAGCGUGGGGAUCAAACAGGAUUAGAUACCCUGGUAGUCCACGCCGUAAACGAUGAGUGCUAAGUGUUAGGGGGUUUCCGCCCCUUAGUCUUUGCAGCCUAACGCAUUAAGCACUCCGCCUGGGGAGUACGACCGCAAGGUUGAAACUCAAAGGAAUUGACGGGGACCCGCACAAGCGGUGGAGCAUGUGGUUUAAUUCGAAGCAACGCGAAGAACCUUACCAAAUCUUGACAUCCUUUGACAACUCUAGAGAUAGAGCUUUCCCCUUCGGGGGACAAAGUGACAGGUGGUGCAUGGUUGUCGUCAGCUCGUGUCGUGAGAUGUUGGGUUAAGUCCCGCAACGAGCGCAACCCUUAAGCUUAGUUGCCAUCAUUAAGUUGGGCACUCUAAGUUGACUGCCGGUGACAAACCGGAGGAAGGUGGGGAUGACGUCAAAUCAUCAUGCCCCUUAUGAUUUGGGCUACACACGUGCUACAAUGGACAAUACAAAGGGGGCGCGAAACCGCGAGGUCAAGCAAAUCCCAUAAAGUUGUUCUCAGUUCGGAUUGUAGUCUGCAACUCGACUACAUGAAGCUGGAAUCGCUAGUAAUCGUAGAUCAGCAUGCUACGGUGAAUACGUUCCCGGGUCUUGUACACACCGCCCGUCACACCACGAGAGUUUGUAACACCCGAAGCCGGUGGAGUAACCUUUUAGGAGCUAGCCGUCGAAGGUGGGACAAAUGAUUGGGGUGAAGUCGUAACAAGGUAGCCGUAUCGGAAGGUGCGGCUGGAUCACCUCCUUU